GAUGAACGCUGGCGGCGUGCCUAAUACAUGCAAGUCGAGCGAACAGAUGAGGAGCUUGCUCCUCUGACGUUAGCGGCGGACGGGUGAGUAACACGUGGAUAACCUACCUAUAAGACUGGGAUAACUUCGGGAAACCGGAGCUAAUACCGGAUAAUAUAUUGAACCGCAUGGUUCAAUAGUGAAAGACGGUUUUGCUGUCACUUAUAGAUGGAUCCGCGCCGCAUUAGCUAGUUGGUAAGGUAACGGCUUACCAAGGCAACGAUGCGUAGCCGACCUGAGAGGGUGAUCGGCCACACUGGAAAUGCGACACGGUCCCGACUCCUACGGGAGGCAGCAGUAGGGAAUCUUCCGCAAUGGGCGAAAGCCUGACGGAGCAACGCCGCGUGAGUGAUGAAGGUCUUCGGAUCGUAAAACUCUGUUAUUAGGGAAGAACAAAUGUGUAAGUAACUAUGCACGUCUUGACGGUACCUAAUCAGAAAGCCACGGCUAACUACGUG
rnacentral:rRNA from 1 species